rnacentral:miRNA from 1 species
UAAUGCCCCGCAAAAUCCCAAA